rnacentral:rRNA from 1 species
GUGCCAGCCGCCGCGGUAAUACGAAGGGACCUAGCGUAGUUCGGAAUUACUGGGCUUAAAGAGCUCGUAGGUGGUUAGAAAAGUUGGUGGUGAAAUCCCAAGGCUUAACCUUGGAACUGCCACCAAAACUUUUUGACUAGAGUGUGAUAGAGGUAAGUGGAAUUUCUAGUGUAGAGGUGAAAUUCGUAGAUAUUAGAAAGAACACCAAUUGCGAAGGCAACUUUCUGGAUCAUUACUGACACUGAGGAGCGAAAGCAUGGGUAGCGAAGAGGAUUAGAUACCCUCGUAGUCCAUGCUGUAAACGAUGUGUGCUAGACGUUGGAAAUUUAUUUUUCAGUGUCGCAGCAAAAGCGUUAAGCACACCGCCUGGGGAGUACGACCGCAAGGUUAAA